ensembl:lncRNA
CAAACAAGUACAAGAUAUUUACAAUAAGCAGACCUCAGUGCAAGAAAGUGUCGUUCCAACACUGAAAAGGUCAAAGGUGAACUUUAACAUUAAAAGGUGUUCAAACAAGUACAAGAUAUUUACAAUAAGCAGACCUCAGUGCCAGAAAGUGUCUUUCCAACACAGAAAAGGUCAAAGGUCAACUUUAACAUUAAAAGGUGUAAAAACAAGUACAAGAUAUUUACAAUAAGCAGACCUCAGUGCAAGAAAGUGUCUUUCCAACACUGAAAAGGUCAAAGGUCAACUUUAACAUUAAAAGGUGUAAAAACAAGUACAAGAUAUUUACAAUAAGCAGACCUCAGUGCAAGAAAGUGUCUUUCUAACACUGAAAAGGUCAAAGGUCAACUUUAACAUUAAAAGGUGUAAAAACAAGUACAAGAUAUUGACAAUAAGCAGACCUCAGUGCAAGAAAGUGUCUUUCCAACACUGAAAAGGUCAAAGGUCAACUUUAACAGUAAAAGGUGUAAAAACAAUUACAAGAUAUUUACAAUAAGCAGACCUCAGUGCAAGAAAGGGAGGUGGGGGGGUACUCACCUUCCACUUCACUGACACACAUCAGCAUCCAGUUCUUCAUGAGAAGAGGGGGAGGGGGAGAGGGCGAUGUACUCACCUUUAUUGACGCGCUCGGUUCCAGUGUCCCAUGCUUCAUCAGAAGAG